UUGACCUCGGAUCAGGUAGGGAUACCCGCUGAACUUAAGCAUAUCAAUAAGCGGAGGAAAAGAAACCAACAGGGAUUGCCUCAGUAACGGCGAGUGAAGCGGCAACAGCUCAAAUUUGAAAUCUGGCUCCCUUCGGGCGCCCGAGUUGUAAUUUGUAGAGGAUGUUUCGGGUGCGGCACCGUUCUAAGUUCCUUGGAACAGGGCGUCAUAGAGGGUGAGAAUCCCGUACGUGACCGGUCGCCAACCCCAUGUGAAACUCCUUCGACGAGUCGAGUUGUUUGGGAAUGCAGCUCAAAAUGGGUGGUAAAUUUCAUCUAAAGCUAAAUACCGGCCAGAGACCGAUAGCGCACAAGUAGAGUGAUCGAAAGAUGAAAAGCACUUUGGAAAGAGAGUUAAAAAGUACGUGAAAUUGUUGAAAGGGAAGCGCUUGCAACCAGACUCGCCCUGCGGUGAUCAAUCGUCCUUCUGGGCGGUGCACUCUCCGUAUGGCGGGCCAGCAUCGGUUCGAGCGGCCGGAUAAAGGCCCCGGGAACGUAGCUCCUCUCGGGGAGUGUUAUAGCCCGGGGUGCCAUGCGGCCAGUUUGGACCGAGGACCGCGCUUUUGCUAGGAUGCUGGCGUAAUGGUUGCCAGCGACCCGUCUUGAAACACGGACCAAGGAGUCGACCAACCGUGCGAGUGUUUGGGUGUCAAACCGUGCGCGCAAUGAAAGUGAACGGAGGUGAGAACCCUUUANGGGGCGCAUCAUCGACCGAUCCUGAUGUCUUCGGAUGGAUUUGAGUAUGAG
rnacentral:rRNA from 1 species